rnacentral:rRNA from 1 species
CCUACGGGGGGCAGCAGUGGGGAAUAUUGGACAAUGGGGGCAACCCUGAUCCAGCCAUGCCGCGUGUGUGAAGAAGGCCCUCGGGUUGUAAAGCACUUUCAGUGAGGAAGAACGCCUGGUGGUUAAUACCCAUCAGGAAAGACAUCACUCACAGAAGAAGCACCGGCUAACUCCGUGCCAACAGCCGCGGUAAUACGGAGGGUGCGAGCGUUAAUCGGAAUUACUGGGCGUAAAGCGCGCGUAGGUGGCUUGAUAAGCCGGUUGUGAAAGCCCCGGGCUCAACCUGGGAACGGCAUCCGGAACUGUCAAGCUAGAGUGCAGGAGAGGAAGGUAGAAUUCCCGGUGUAGCGGUGAAAUGCGUAGAGAUCGGGAGGAAUACCAGUGGCGAAGGCGGCCUUCUGGACUGACACUGACACUGAGGUGCGAAAGCGUGGGUAGCAAACAGGAUUAGAUACCAUUGUAGUC